rnacentral:rRNA from 1 species
UGGGGAAUUUUGCACAAUGGGGGAAACCCUGAUGCAGCGACGCCGCGUGAUUUAGAAGGCCUUCGGGUUGUAAAAAUCUCUUCUAUGGGAAGAAAAUGACAGUACCAUAGGAAUAAGGACCGGCUAAUUACGUGCCAGCAGCCGCGGUAAUACGUAAGGUCCGAGCGUUGUCCGGAAUCAUUGGGCGUAAAGGGUACGUAGGCGGGUAAGCAAGUUAGAAGUGAAAUCCUGUAGCUCAACUACAGUAAGCUUUUAAAACUGCUCAUCUUGAGAUAUGGAAGGGAAAGUGGAAUUCCUAGUGUAGCAGUGAAAUGCGCAGAUAUUAGCAGGAAUACCGGUAGCGAAGGCGACUUUCUGGCCAUAAUCUGACGCUGAGGUACGAAAGCGUGGGUAGCAAACAGG